rnacentral:rRNA from 1 species
GACGAACGCUGGCGGCGUGCUUAACACAUGCAAGUCGAACGGAAAGGCCUGCUUUCCCUUGUGGAUUGCGGGUACUCGAGUGGCGAACGGGUGAGUAACACGUGAGUGAUCUGCCCCCAAUUUGGGUAUAAGCCUGGGAAACUGGGUCUAAUUCCCGAUAGGACUGCAGGGUGGUGCCUGUGGUGGAAAACGAUUUUCUAGUGGUUGGGGAUGAGCUCGCGGCCUAUCAGCUUGUUGGUGGGGUAAUGGCCUACCAAGGCGGCGACGGGUAGCCGGCCUGAGAGGGUGGACGGCCACAUUGGGACUGAGAUACGGCCCAGACUCCUACGGGAGGCAGCAGUGGGGAAUAUUGCACAAUGGGCGGAAGCCUGAUGCAGCGACGCCGCGUGGGGGAUGACGGCCUUCGGGUUGUAAACUCCUUUCGACCGCGAGGAAGCCACCUGGUUGGAAGGGUGGUGACGGUAGUGGUAGAAGAAGCACCGGCUAACUACGUG